CGUAGGGUGCGAGCGUUAAUCGGAAUUACUGGGCGUAAAGCGUGCGCAGGCGGUUUUGUAAGACAGGCGUGAAAUCCCCGGGCUUAACCUGGGAACUGCGUUUGUGACUGCAAGGCUAGAGUACGGCAGAGGGGGGUGGAAUUCCACGUGUAGCAGUGAAAUGCGUAGAGAUGUGGAGGAACACCAAUGGCGAAGGCAGCCCCCUGGGUCGAUACUGACGCUCAUGCACGAAAGCGUGGGUAGCAAACAGGAUU
rnacentral:rRNA from 1 species